UCGAGUACAUCGGCGAGCCCGAGCCCACGCUGGUCGACUUUAUAUGCAGCAAGGUUUUAGCCGGCGCCGCCCCCCAUCGCAUACUAGAUGAUGUACAGAUGGUUAGUAGUUGUACAGUAAUGUAGGUCCCGCCGUGGAUCAACAAGAUCAUCGAGUACAUCGGCGAGCCCGAGCCCACGCUGGUCGACUUUAUAUGCAGCAAGGUUUUAGCCGGCGCCGCCCCCCAUCGCAUACUAGAUGAUGUACAGAUGGUUAGUAGUUGUACAGUAAUGUAGGUCCCACCGUGGAUCAACAACAAGAUCAUCGAGUACAUCGGCGAGCCCGAGCCCACGCUGGUCGACUUUAUAUGCAGCAAGGUUUUAGCCGGCGCCGCCCCCCAUCGCAUACUAGAUGAUGUACAGAUGGUUAGUAGUUGUACAGUAAUGUAGGUCCCACCGUGGAUCAACAACAAGAUCAUCGAGUACAUCGGCGAGCCCGAGCCCACGCUGGUCGACUUUAUAUGCAGCAAGGUUUUAGCCGGCGCCGCCCCCCAUCGCAUACUAGAUGAUGUACAGAUGGUGCUGGACGAGGAGGCGGAGGUGUUCGUGGUGAAGAUGUGGCGGCUGCUCAUCUACGAGCUGGAGGCCAAGCGCGCCGGCCUCACGCACUCCAAGUGACCCGAGGCCAAGAGUGUCGGCCUCGCACACACCAAGUGACGGGAGGCCCACACAUCACCCGAGCGGACGGCAAACGAGUAGGAGCCGGUUUAGAACGGUAUUACACUAACAUAUUAGUCCCUCAACCCCUCGGUGUCCGGCAGUUAACGAUGUCAAAAACAUAUCCCCAGAGUUUGUUGUUUUUUUAUAGAUUUAGUAUGAAAUCGCGUCCGCGAGGGUCGUUACGCUGCAUGGGGUGAAUUGAAACAACAGAUUUUUGCUGAUUUGAUUGGCUUUCUCUAUGUUGGCCCGUUCUUAUAGUAAAAGUCUGACAUGACAGUCACCCGGUCCCUGCGUACAAUACGGACUAAUAUUUAUUUAAUACCAGUUCUGCCGGAACGGCACGGGUAACGUUUUAUUUGAUCGAAUGCAUUUUUACUAAAAUAUAAAAAGAAUAAAUAUUUAAACAAAUUUGUUACUUGCAAGCAUAAAAUUAAAUUUUAGACAUACAACACGCAUAAGAUCAAAUGGAGCAUCAAUAGUUGAUUUGUUGAACUGUAAAGCAGCUGUUCGAUACGAUAUUAUUAUAAAGUAUAAGAAUCAAUGGAAAUGUCAUCAUAUUGUCAAAAAAAGGUACUUACAGUCGCCAUCAGAUAUAUGAGAGCAAACGAGGUACUCACUAGUAUAUCUACGCGGUUAUUAUCAAGCAAUUAAUACGGAUGGCGUAAAAAAGUGGUAGUAAACCGCUUAAUGGUGUAUAAAAUAUUGUAGCGCCCGCGCCAGUAAUAGCUGAAAAAGAAGCGAACAUUGUUAUUUCUCUAGCCGCCUUCUUUACUCGUCUUAAUAUUCCAAUUCUUAUACUAGGUAUAGACCAGAGAUAAUGUUGAUGAUAUCUGUAAAUUGAUUAUUGAUAGGGUCCGUCUAAGCCAACUUUGCACACUUGUAUAGAACAAAGAGAGGACGUAAGGACCCUUUAGGCGUGGAACGGCACAUAUUUUCAAAGAAAUUUGACAUUAAUGAUGAUAUUAUACCACACGUCUUUACAAAUGCCAUGCAGAGAUAGCUUGACCCGACUCUAAAUAAAGGUCGUAUCGUAUCAAGCGCUGCUGUCCGCUGAUUCUUACAUUUUGUACCGAAUCCCACGUGACGAGGCCGACAGGCCGGCGCAGGCCUCGGGGGCCGCUCAACUGUAAAUUAUAGCAUAUGCGAGACUGAGAGCGACAGAGACGAGUGACAGGGACGCACGAACGAGUACGUUAAGCCUAAUGAUUAAUGAUAAUGAUUACUUAGAGGAUAAUAAAUAUAAUUAUUACACAG